CUUUAUUGGAGAGUUUGAUCCUGGCUCAGGACGAACGCUGGCGGCGUGCCUAACACAUGCAAGUCGAACGGAGUA
rnacentral:rRNA from 1 species